GUUAGAGAUCAGAGGUUUCAACACUAAUGUCAGUAAUGAAGAACACUGGCAUUAUCAUCUAAUAUUCUCUCUGUGUGAAUGGGAAAACCAUGUACAGUACAUGUUAAAGUGCUAUUAAACCCAAUGUGGGCAGUUAUCUUUUCAAAGUACACAUCACAAAAACACAAAUCUCGCUGCUAUAACUGGGAGCAUUGGGAUCAGACCAUUAAGGGAAAAUAAACAAGAGGAACUUUAAAGACUUUUUCUAUGUAACAAUAUAUUUUUAUUUACUUCUUUACUUAUGAUACAAUCAUGGGACUUCGGACCAGAAUCUCUUUGUCUGCACGUCCAACGUGCCUCAUGGGACCAUCAUCAACCCGCUGUUCACUUCAGCAAAUUCAGGAACUGGAUGACGAAUCCGGAUAUUUCAGUAGUGAUACAAUUUUCUCUGUUUGAACUGACUGAAGUGAAAGUGGGUUCAGCCCAGCCUCCAUGCCCUCUACAGCAGCGGGCACAACAACACACACUGCCUCUGACGUAGUAUUGUGUACAGUAGGAUGUGGUUCAUGUUCUGUACUUGUAUUGUUGUUGACUGUUGAUGGAGCUUAAAGGGACCCCAAAUGUUUAAAGAAUUAUCAUACUGUAAUCACAUUGUAUUGAAAACAAUUUGGAGUGCAUUUCAUUUUUUUGACAUGAAAUUUACAGCUUCCGGGCUCUUAGUGUUUAUUGUAAGAAUUCAACUUUCUGCUGAAGAUCUUUAAAUUUACUACUUUUUUUUUUUUUUUUUUUAACUCAGAUGCUAAUGUAUAGCCAUUUAGAGAAUGUUCUUCUUUCACUUCAUUAGAAACUACUGCAAGCUUACGUUUUAAUUUCUUGACUCAGAAUGAAUACAGAAACUACAGAGUGAAAUUUGCAAAAGUCAUCGGCACUGGAUGAUUAUUCUGGCUCAUUCCAGGAAAUCAACAAUAGAAACUAUGAGCAUGUGGACCAAACAAAACUAAAACUUCCAAUCAUUUAAAAGUGCUAAGGUGUGUAUUUACAUUAUUAUACAGGAGUCUAGCAUUGUCUUGUACUUUUGAAAUUUUAAACUUAAUAUAAAGCUAAAUCUUAAGCACCUGAAAAGCUGUUUACCAUUUUCACAUGCAUAGUUAACUAUGUUGGCACAGAGACUAUUUUUAAACUUGUGCUAAUAUAUGAACCACUUUCAGCACAUUAAAAAAAUUAAGGUGGAUGCUUCUCAUCCAGCAUUGACAGCUGAGUUAAACAGCAGGCAAACAGAUUACACAAUAGGGAAACUCUCCAAGCUGGAUCCAGUCCAGAGUCACUUUGUUAUCAGAGUACACUCUCUGUAGAUCAAUAGUGGCAAGAGUUUUUGGGGGUCUUCUGGGGUAAAAAUGAAAAAUACUGCAAAAUAUUUAAGUGACCAUAUCCAUUUGUAUUUAAUGUCUAUUAUUCAAAUAUUGAAAUAUAGUGUAUCCAAAAAGUAUUUUUACACAAACAGUUCUUGAAACAUGCCAGCUGCCCGCAGGUAUUAUGGGUUACAGUCUAAAUUUAAUCUGUCUAAACUCUUUUGGCUGACUAAAACUUGUUUGCCCUUUAACAGUCACUGUAGCUAGGAUUUUGCACUUGAUUGGCAGAGGUAAGAAAGCAGAACUCAGUGAACUGAUAUCUGUAAUCUAGUGGUGGAAAUUGUACACACUAUAACUUUAAAGUUUUAAAUCUUUCACUAGCCUUAGCUAGCCAAAGUCGAUCAGCUUGUCAGUUAUGUACGGAUCUGUUCUUUAGUUCAGACAUAAACCGGUCCCCAACCUUUUUGCACCAUGGACCGGUUUAUGUCUGACAAUAUUUUGACAGACCGGCUUUUAAGGUGUCGCCGAUAAAUGCAACAAAAUAAAACCAGUACCAAAAAUAAAAAGAUUUGUUCAUAACACGUGUGAAAAGACCCAGGGAAACGGAGUUAAUGAUAAAAAAUAACGAAAAAAAACUAUUAAAAACGCUGAAAACCAUAAAUUACACGCUCGAGCCUCAACUCUCGCGGCCCAGUACCAAACGACUCAUGGACCGCUCCCAGUCCAUGGCCCGGGGGUUGGGGACUGGCUGGUGUAGAUUAUACCUAAUUAAAAAAUCUACUCAUUUGCAAACAUUACCCUAUUGAGGAAUUUUAGCUAAUGAAAAGUUUCUAGCCCAGUGGUUCAAAGGUGUUUUAAUUUAAAUCUUCGGUCUCUCUUGCACAUUGAUUCAUGUGGUAUUAACUUCUUUUCAUGAAUACAUGCAUUGGAAUACUACUUUCUUAAGCUUUACCAAUUCUGCUAUGAGUUGUACAUGUGCAUUUACUCAAAGAUCAUUUUUAAUUGUACAGUUUAAAAAAAAAAAAAAA
ensembl:lncRNA